AACAGAGAGAAUCAACAUUAAGCCCCAUUGGACUGGAUUCUGAAGAUGCUUGAGGACUUCCUGCCUUAGUCAGAUUUGGUUUGGAACUGGGGCAGGGCCAGGCCUGCAGGUGGAAGCAACAUCAGCCCCAGCUGUGGGUCCUUCUGACCUCUUUUUCUCUCUACCAGAGAACUGGCUAUUUUUACCUGUCAACUGAGAAGGAUGGAUAGAGAAAAGCAUCAUUACAAAAGUGAAAUGUGUGAAUUUUAUUCUGGCUUUGAACAUUGAGUAGACGAAGAAGACAAUUCCAGACGGAGGAAACUCCACAAGAAAUAUCAUGGAAAUUUGAAAGAACACAGUGGGCUUGGGAAGAGAGAUCUCAGUGGUGGAAGCACCAUCAUCCCAAGGAGACUUAGGAAAAAGACAAGGCCCUGCUCUGAGGAGUGAAGACACAAUCCAGCAGGCAGGAGGGAUGGCUAAGUUCAAAGUCUUGAGAAGUGCCCCUCAUGGACACCCCAGGGUGCCCAUCUCCAGGUUACCACCAGGUGCUUCCAAGACCAAGAUAACCAGGCAAUCAUAGUAGAUGCAUCAAUGCACCCUUGCCCAAGGGCCUAGACAAGAGGAGGAAGGAAAGGAGGAGCACGUGCACAAAGCUAAGGAGGUGAUUAACAACAUGAUACAGUAUUGUUUAGCUUCGCAUGAAUUUUAUCACCUUGCCUAGAACCAGCCACCAUCUGCCAGGGCUCCUGACUUUUUCUGAAAUGAAUAGACACUAAAGCCUGCUGGGGAAUUUCAUGGAAAUCAAGAUGACUCAACCCAGAGUCCAUUUCAAGGCUAGGAUGCUAGAGGACGCCAACAAAGGAGUAGGGAAGUGAAACGGAUCAGCUCACAUCCAAGCCCUUGCAUGAUCAAUCCUGCAGUAGGAGUGCUGCUCAGUUGGGACUCAUGAGAGCCCGGAAGAGGAAAAAGCAGCUCUAAGCAUAGCAAAGAAGCUGUUAUGGAAAAGACCCAAAUGUUAAAAUGGUGGACAUAGUAAAGUGAUUGGUUCUGCUUAGGGGAAUCUAGAUCCCCACAUUUUGACCUCCACUGGAGUCUCAGAAGAACAAGUGCCAGGGGGGCUUGCCACAGAGGCCAAGGCAGUGAAUGUCAGGCACAUCACAGUCCCCAAGAUGGGGAGAAGACUGAGAUGCAGGGUAACAACUGCAAUCCAUUCAUGGGAGCCAUGUUUAUCUUAAAUCAUUGACAGUGAGAUAAGGAUCAUGUCAGCCUUCAUACCUUUGAUGAUGAUCCCAGGCUGCAACAGUGACACAUAGAACUGGAUUCAGUAACUAACUACAGAUUCCAUCAACCAGGACUAGUAAAGUGAAAGGCAGAAAUUGGGAGGAGGGGUUUCUUUCUUGCUUAUAAAACUUUAUUUGGUUGUGUUGAGUAUGUGCAUGUAUGUAUGAAAUCCCAUAAAGCAGUCUUCUUAGGAACAAGCCAACAUGCCACAAUGUAGGAGAUCUUUGGAGCACUGGCCUAAAUGGCAGAGAGCUCAAGGGACUCUGCUUUGUACAAGGCAUGAUUUGUACCACCACCACUAUCCCUGUUUCAGAGCACUGUUGAAUUGUUCCAAACCUGGAUUUCUAUGUCAGCUCCCUGUCUAUAGUACUUGACUGAUAAAUGCUAGUUUCUGAAAUCUGCUUUGGUUCUAUAAUUUAUUAGACAGCUUUUUCUUCCCAUUUUAUUACUUGUUUUUACUGUCAUUGGUAUAUUAUCUCUUACAGUGAAAACAUUCAUAGGCUGAUUGAAGAGAAGAUCUGAAAUUAUUAGGCAGCAAGCAUACAAAACCCUUGCUUUAUAAAGAUAAUAUCUUAAAGGCCUAAUGUCUAUGGUUCAAAGCAGCCUGGAGAUGUUGGCUAAAUCUUCCAUCAUAGAGUCCUCAUGGGAUCUGGAAGCUCUGAUUUAUCUUCCUUCAGGCCCUAUAAGUUAGCUUUCCACAUCUGUAGGUUCCACAAUCAACCUUGGAUCAAAAACAUUUGAAA
rnacentral:lncRNA from 10 species